CCUACGGGAGGCAGCAGUAGGGAAUCUUCCGCAAUGGACGAAAGUCUGACGGAGCAACGCCGCGUGAGUGAUGAAGGUUUUCGGAUCGUAAAACUCUGUUAUCAGGGAAGAACAAGUAUCGGAGUAACUGCCGGUACCUUGACGGUACCUGACCAGAAAGCCACGGCUAACUACGUGCCAGCAGCCGCGGUAAU
rnacentral:rRNA from 1 species